CCCAGAUAUAAAUACUGUGGAACCUACUAUGGGUAGAUGUCAGGAUUAAUUGUAAAAUAUAAGAAAUUGCUAAAUUUAAAUAUACCUUACUACACAGUCACUGUAAAUGAAAUAAUAAAAAAUAAUUGAGUUUCAGCUAAAUCCUAAUUAUAUAUAACUGUAAAUUAGUAUUGGACCUUGUAAUCAAUUAACAAUGAAUUAUUCUUAGUAAUAAAAAUAUAUAUAUUUUUAUUAAUUUCACUUCCUCUGUACUAAAGAGUGUUAGCCAAUCAAAUUCAGGCCCCUCCUACUACACUCACCACAUAAGCUUCAGUACAAACUCCUCCUUCCUCUUUUCUCCGUGUGGUUCAUCCAGCACAGACAUGCAGCUGAAUUUUCUGUUUUAUUAAACUAGAAAAAAUAAAGUAAAGUUACUAAAUUAAAUUAUAUUCAAGUGAUAAACUGCAUUUAAAGAGCCCUGGACCCCCCCCCUUCUACACUUCAUGUGUUACUGAGCUUUGGUCGGGUUUUAUUGGAUCCCUUGGAGCCUUGAGACAGCUUGAGACAACGUCGGAGUGGGAAGUCUUCCCUUUUCCCUUCAUGAACUCGGACGGUACUGAUCCCUCCCGUCAGGGUAUUGGAUGCCUGGAACCUUGUGUGAUCUAACAGCUCUGAUAACAGGACACCCCAUUCAUUAGUGUCCCGUUUGAACUCUUGAUUUCUCCGGUAAGGAGUGGCGAGCCAGAUUCUGAAACACAAAAAGGGAGCAAUUGCAUGCAGAAGAGAACACAGUGGAACUGAACUGAAUCACACACACACUUACGCACUUUUUUUAUUUUUUUAUUUUAUCUGUUGAUUCCUUUAUUUCUGCUAAGAGUCUAUGUUGCUGUACUGAUAAUCUCCUGGUCAAUAUAACCAUAAGCUAUUGAAUUAAAUCCAGCCAUUUGUGUAA